rfam:Brassica oleracea var. oleracea cultivar TO1000 chromosome C3, whole genome shotgun sequence
CAGAGGAAUGAGGAUUAUAUUUCCAUAAGUCUGCAAAUCUGAAUUAUAGUGUUGAUUCAUGGACAUGCACUACCAUCUGACCUCUU